CCUUCCUGCCUCAGCCUCCUGAGUGCUGGGAUUGCAGGUGUGGAGCACCACUCUGGCGACUUUCAUUUUGUAGACUGUAGUUUCUCCCCUCUCUGCACCCCGCGGCCCCCAGCGUUUCGGGCGCUGCUCUUCCCUGAAUAGCCAUAGCCUCGUGUCUAUCCGCGUAAGGAACCUCUUCUUACUGCUCCGAGGACCCCCGCGCGGGGUGUGUCCCCCUCAGCCCGGGGCCUCCGCCUGGACGCUGUUCUGUGGUUCGGUUCGCUUGGGUGAUGUUAGAUUGCGCUCUGGGCUUCCCCGCUGCAGGCCUCCUGGUUGCUCGGCCUUUCGAACGCAAAGGCAGGAGUCAGGGUGCGACCCUAGCCCAGGGUUUCGUUUGGCUCCGUCUCCGCUCUGCAGCGAGCAGAGCCAGCCAGGAAGAGUCCCGUCCUUCCCGGGGGAGGGCGGGGGGAGCGGCCUGGUUCUCUUGGGCGAGGCCCCGGGUGGCAGAGGCCAGACGCUUCCCUGGCCAUCACCCAGCUCUACUUCCUUUGUGCCCAACCGCAGAUGCGGUUCCGGUUCCGGUUCCGGUUCCGGAGAGAAAAGCAGCUUUCAGCCGGAUCCAGGCCGCGGAUGUCCCGCAGCGCCUCAGCCUGGCGGCCCUGUGGUCCGGAUAGGACGGGCUCCAGGCUCAGAGGAGGCAACUGACACACAGACUUGCAGCCUUUUUUCCAGCGACACCCACAUACGCUUUCCAGGUAUGAAAUUCCAUGAUACAAGCAGAAUCCAAGGACCUCGACCUGGGUGGAAGCUCACAAGUUUAGCUAAUUUGUCUCCUCACCAUAUGAUGAAGAUAUUGUGAUCCCAUUUUGCAGAUAUGACAGCUGGGGUCCCAGAGAGGAUACGCAGUGUUGUGUGACUGCUGAGCUCUCGAAGGCAUUUGUAUGAACUCACGCUGACCAUGGGUGUUUUCCCUGUGCCUUCAGCUCCGGAGCUGUGUGGACAGGGCAUGUACUGCUGUGGCUCAAGCAGUGUGACCCAGAGGACGUGCCGGGUAAUCUGCAGAUAAACAUCUGUUACAUCAGAGAAGUUUGCGAGGGAGGAUGGAGCUAGAGAAAUCACUACUUCUGCCUUCCUAUUUUACAGAGGGAAGACUGAGGCCCAGUUGAAGAUCAACUUCUGGGUUUUUUGUUUGUUUGUUUUGGGUUUUUCUGAGAGGACAGGGUCUUGCUGUGUAGUUCAAACUGGCCUUGAACUCACUGUGCAGCCCAGGCUGGCCUCAAACUCACAGCAAUCCUCCUGCCUCAGCCUCCCGAGUGUAGUGUUGGACAUCUUUGAGCAAGGAUCCUUUAUGUUUGUCGCAGUACCUAUUAAGAACACAGGGUCCGGGGCCGGGGUUUUAGCUCAGUGAUUCCACCGCCUGCCCUGCAAGCACAAGGACCCAAGUUUGAUUCGUGGUACCAAAAAAAAAAAAAAAGAACACAGGGUCCAGGAAGAAGGGAGAAAGGAGGAAGGUGGUGAGAAAGGAGUAUUCACUAAGCAUCGGCAGCACCAGCAUUCAGUCAGGCUCUCCCUUCACCAUGGCAACAUGUGGAGCAGGCGGUUUCUCGUUCAGGAAGGAUGGACCUGAGGUCAGAUGGGAGAUCACGUGUCCAGAGGCACACAGCGUGGGUAAAGCAGAGUCCGAAACAAAGCGAGGCGAGGAAGCUGAGGCUAUGUUCCUCUUGCACCACAGUGAGUCUCGGGUGUGCCAAGGAGAAGCACGGGGCAGAAAGCUGGACCAGUCCACCACGGCGUUGCUUCCAACACCAGUAACGAUGCUGUGUGACCCCAAGAAAGUCCCUCAGUGUCUCCAAGCCUCAGGUUCCCCUUUGAUCCUGAAGGGUGGAUGCUGAGUGCUAAGGUCCCCUCCGCUUGGCAGGGCUGGGCUGCAGCUGACUCUCCCUGCGUUCCUUGGCCACCGAGUGAGCCACUUAAAGAUGACUGAUGCUGCCAGGAGGAUCGGUGUCUCUUUAAUGAGAUCUGUCAAGGUCAGGCCCAGCAAGCUUAUUGGGGGUUUUCUGAUGGAGCCUCUCUUAAUUGCUUGGGGUGAAGAGUUCAGAGUUAAGUUGCAGGGUUAGCCUUUCCGUCUCAGGGCGCUGGGCCUUAAACAGCUGACUGAGGGGCCUUCACUCAGCCCAGUGGCCCUCGCCUCCCUGGGGUAGAAGAGGGGGCUGCUGAGCAAUGGAGAAAUAUGCUGUGUUGGUCACCGAGAAGCAAUGUCAAAUUUCUGGGGCUUUCCUAUGUUUUGGUCUAUGUACUGCCAGGAAGACUUCCACAAACAGCGUUGCUUUCGUGUGUGCUUGUGUGAGUGUGUCUUUUUCUAAAGAUAUUUUAUUAUUCUAUACUUGAAAACAUUUAGGACAGUAAGACAUUUUGAACUACUGUGCUCUGCAGAGUCUAGCUAGCAGUUGCUUUUCUUCUGAUGUGUGUAUUUUCUUUCUCUAAUUUAAUUAAGAUUUAUUAAUAAUAGCAACAGUGACAAUCUGAAGAACUCACCUGUCAAUGGAUACCCCACCCUCUUCUUUCAGACACUAGGAGGUAUUACAUUCCUUCUACCAACAAAUCACUGAGUCUCCGGUCACUUCUAGGCAUUGUCCUGAACACCAGGGAGUUAUCAGAACCAAGGUGAAGUGUCCUUCUUCAAGGGGCACACAGACAGCAAGCAAAUGUUGAUAUAUUUUCAGGUUAUCUGAUUCCAGCUUCAAAACAUCCUUAGCCCAGCAGGUAUUAUAAGGUCAUUUUUACAUGUGCAGAAAUACAGAAGUCCAGAUAAUGAAGUCCAAAGCAUGAUAAGCAAUCUGACUGAAACUCAGACCAUAGACAUUGAGACUUUUUCCUGUAUUACAUCUUCACUGUGCCUGUAACCAUGGAAGGUUCAGUUUCAUCACUAUCCAAUGAAGCCAGUAACCAGAGCGACAGAGUGAUGGGAGAAGAAAGCUUUAUCGGCAUUCAGCUGGCAGGUGGGAGAUGGAGGAGGCUCCCACCCAGGGCCCAGCUCGCCAGGAGUCACAGGUGCAAACACUUCCAUGGGGUUUCUGGGAAAUCUAAUUUUAGCCCCAGCCAGGUGGGCACUGGAAUGAUCAUUAAUUCUUUCCUAGUCCACUCUCUUGUGAUUUCUGCGCUGUCCUCAAGGCGCUAGGCUUUCCUGCAAGCAUAAGGAAAGAUUGCUGACUAGGAGGUCACAAGACUAGUGUUGCUCUUUGAUGUUUUCCCUUAUUCUUCUUUGCAAGAAUUACAGGUUAAUUAUUCCCCGAGUGAGACCUUGGGAGUGAAACAAAACAAUAAUGAGAAGCUGCCUCCCCAGCAUUGUGAGUUAACCCAUUCUUUGGCUUCAAGCCCAGAAGCAGGUAAAUUAGGAAGCUUGGAAACACUCCAUGGGCCCUUGCUUCUUAAUUUCCCUCACACUCGCUUCCAUCCAUUUCCAAUCGAGGCCCCGCUGCAUUUUGUAAACCUGGGGUUUCAUGAGAUCUAGACCAGCCCUCACCAAACUUUGGGUUCAGAGACUUUCUCAGUUUCUCCGGAAACCAGCGGAAGAGAUGAACAUGAAAACAGUCCUCAGACAUAGUUAGGAGGUGUAAUGGAGCUGUGACACCUUCAGUAUUGUGCCUAUCUCCACUCUAAUUCACAAGUUGAAGUCUUAGCCCACAGUGCAACUGGAUUUAGAGAUAGAGGUUUUAGGGAGGUAAAGUUAAGUGAGGUUUUAUGGAUAGGCCCUAAUCUGAUAGGACAGGACUGGUAUCCUUAAAAGAAAAGGAAGAGGCACUGGAGACACAGUCCCAGAGAAGAAAGAACAUGUAAGGACACAGGGAGAAGUCAACGGUCUGCAAGCCAGGAAGAGAGCUCUCCCCAGAAACCAAAUCUACUAGCACCAUGGUCAUAGAUGUCUAGUCUUCCGGACCAUGAGAAAUAAAUUUCUAUUUUCUAAGUCAUCCCCAGACUGCAGUAGCUUGUUAUGGCAGCCCACAUAGGCCAAUAAUAAAAGCAUAGACAGGGCAAAUGAAUUUGAGGAUGGAGGAGAAAGUAGCCCCAGCAAAUGGGACUCAAGAGUACAGUAUAUGUAUGGAACCAUACAUAAUAAUAGUCCAUUCUUGGUAACAUGACAGCAGAAGGGGAAUGGUGGGCAAAUGAGCCGUGACAAGUAGGUGGAGGAUAGUCACAAGGGGUGUGGUAAACCAGGUUGAAGAAUUGGGUUUUUAUCUGAUAGAUGUGGGGUGCCUAUCAGGAGAGGGUCCAAGUCAGAACAAAGAAGAAUGGGGGAGGAGGAGAGCGGUCAGAUGACUAAUGCAGUAGCCCAGGUGAGAAAGGUGUGGCUCUCAACUAGGCCAGUAGGGCAGGAGACAGGGAGAGAGAGAGGGGUGAGGGGAGAGACGCUGUUUUAGGGCAGAGGAAAUUGAGUCACAUGGGGCUGUAUGCUGCUUGGAAUAUUUUGAUUAUAUGUAAAAUGACUUGACUAUAGCCAUGGAUUUAAUCUACUUAGGAGGAAAAGUGUUUGGAAUUCUAGUAUUUCAAAGAAGUAGCAGUAGAGGUUUGCUAAGGUCCCAGAUCUGCAGCCUGGUCUGUAGUUUGGUCUGUUUGGAAGCCAGCAGGAUGCAAACAGGAUGGCCGGAGGCAUGGGGCAGGAUCUGCCUCAGGCUUCGGUAGCAACAUCACAUUUCUUAGCAGAAUGCUGGCUUUGCCUCCUACUUUUUUUUUUUUUUUUUUUUAGCUGAAACUGGAACAGGGAGAUUACAAUGCCUUACUUAGUGGUGGUCAAACUUGGUAACUAUUUUGCUUGGAGCAAAAAGCACUUUGCCCAGUCCAACCCAACCUUGAUGUAUCUUUGGGUGAAUCAUACUCUCUCUGCCCUAUAAUUUCUCAAAAGUGAACCACUUGAGUUAAAUAGUCUUUUUUUGUGCUAAUAUUCUGUGCAUCAAUAUUUAACAACUUGUGUAAAAAUAUAUAGAAAUCGAGAGUUGGGGGAAGAUGAAGGUCUUAUGUCCAAGGAUAAUGUCUAAGUCGGUCUUGAAGUGACAAGCUUUAAAUCCAAAUCAUUUUGCCUGAGCCUGGACUCAUGGAUUCAUGAGUGACUCUAUAGGGAAGAGAAUAUUCACAAAACAUCCAGUCCAGCUUCUUUAUUCUACGUGUGAAGAGACUGAGAAAUGUGAAGGGAGUAAUCUGGUCUCAUACAGUGUGUUAGUAGGAGAGUCAGAAACCAAACCCAGGGCUCCUGACCUAAUCAGGAACCAAACCCAGGGCCACAAGAGGCACUCGGCAAAACACCACAGGCACCUUGUGGGUGAUGCCCCUGGAGUUGUUCAAGGUGGGGCCCUGCUGCUGGCUCUCACCUUAGCAGCCCUCUCACGAUAUGUGUCUAACUGUAGGACAGUUGUCACCUCUCUGAUAGCCUACUCUUGCCUAUUUGAGUGCUUCUAUGGCUAGGUAUACUCAGUGCAUCACAAAGGGGUGUGUUUCUUGCUUUUCUCUUCACGGGCGACCCAGUACAAAUGAGAGCCAUGUCGUACUGGUGUCUCUACCUCUAACAUGUAGCACAGGUGGCUCAUUUAAUGGACACAGAGUGAAUGAAUAUAAUGGAUGCACAACAGAGCGAAUAUAAACUGAGAAAGGUCCUGGAGAAUAGAGAAAGAGAAGAGGCUUAGGAACCUGCAUUCCAAGAGGUGUAAAUAAGACUAGGGUUCCCUCUCAGCUGGUGAUUUCUUGGAUUUAUAGGUCAUCACCCUCAUUAUGGACAGCUCCUCUAAGCCCUCAGCAGGAAAUGCCUCCGUAUCAGGCUCGAUGGCCCAUAUUGAAGACAUAAUCCCUCGGCCCAUGACUCACCAAUGGAUUCCAGAAGGCACAGUGUGGGUGGCCUUCCUCUAUCAAUCAAUGGUGGGACAUCCUGGCUUGUGAUUGGAGCUCCAACUUGCCACCCAAGCUUAUAGGUUUCUCGAAUGAGGCCUGUAUGGAGACCUCUGGCCAUGAGGCUGGCUCAGUUUCUAACCACCCACCAGGAGACUCAGGAAGCCUCCAUAAAAACUGGCUUUUAUGACCACUGACACCCUUGAGUGUGGUCAUUAUGAUUAUUUAGCAUCUGUGAGACACUCUUCAUGCAGUGGGGGCCAGGGAAAGGCAGUUUGGCAGCUUCGACACAAAUGGAUGUUUCUGUCAAUCCCCAAAAUGUUCUUCCUCCCACUGAGAUGAAUUCUGCACAACUGCAUUCAGGAGCUCAUAUAGGCCAGGGUGGAGGUAACUUUAUGUGUCCUGUAUGGACCCAGGUAUUUCUAAGGGAGCUUCUUUAAUCAAAACCCAACAGAGGGGAACCUUCAGUGAACCAGGUUUGGACUUAGGCACUGGCAUUGAUUUGUUCUCUGAGUGACGUUGAUGUACAAAGUCCUUCAUUCAUUCGCUGUCACUCAGUUCCAUAUGUAGACUUCUUCUUUAUGUCAGACCCUGUGUCUGGACUUGACCUAUGUGAUAAAUAAGACAACCAGACAACUCAAAUAUGUGGAGAAGAUAGGCAUGCAAGCAAAAUAUUAAUAUUACAGAUGACGUGUAAGAGCCGAGCUCACAGUAGAGUGGGGGCCUUGAGAAAGGAGCAGCCAACUCCACUGAGCAGGGCCAUGCCGGGAGGGCUUUGCAGGAGAACAAGUUCCAGGUGGCCCUUGAUGAAUGAUGACAGUUUUGGCAUAUGUGAGUGAAGACCUUCCAGGCAGGGGAAUGCCUGCUGCCUUUGGAACAGCAGUCACGCUUCUUGGGGUGCACUUCCUUGUGGACACACUUGGAGCAGCUCCCCGCUCUCUGAUCCCCAUCCCUCCCGCCACUUCCAUGAGAUUCCCUACUGCCCACCCUUCAAUGCCAGUGUUCCCCAGCAUCCCUCCAUGGCUUUCUCACCCUAUACCCCUCUCAGAGGAACUUUCUUACUGUGGUGAUCCCCCAAAUGAUAUCCCACCCUGAUGAGCUUCUUCCUGAACUCCACUCUGCACCUGGCCCCGAUGCUCAUGGAUGCCCUUACCUGAUGGAGAUGACUGUCUGCUCCGGAAACCUUUGUUCAUUCCACAUUUAGCAUCCACAUCCAGCCACUUACUGUAUCCUCAAGCUGCAAGUUACCCUAGGUUCCUCACUUGCCUGGGUAAGUCACAGCAAGCCCAUCAUUCAUCCAUAUGUUAGACUGCUUUUUUUUUUUUUUUCCAGUUCUUUCAUUGCCAGGACUCCGGCCCGCAGUAGGUGAAGGAGAGAUAAAGGAAAUAGGGUCCUGGCCACUGUGGAGCCGAUAGUCACAUUAGAAGAAGGAUACAGGAACCGGUGGGUCUCACCGUGGGUGCAGAGCUCAGCAACAGAGGGGUGUAGAGGACAGUGGCGGCCCAUAUGCCAGUUGGGUCCCUGGGGCGAGGCUAAGCUUCCUCAGGAAGGCGGUGCCUGUGCUGAGCCUCACAGACUGAGCCGGAGCUGUGUAGAGGAGAUGAGGAGGGAAGGAGACCUUCUAAGGACAGGGAAUUACAUGAGGAAAUGGACAGGGCCACAAAUGAUGGUACCAUUGGCUUUUAACAUCUGUUUCCCUGAAAAACAAAACCUGGCUGGAAAAUAGCCUUGAAAACUAGAGAUCACAAAUCUCCAGGAAGUGGGGGAAACAUUUCUCAAGUGGGGCUGGCUGCCUUUGUCCCUAUUUUCAUAGGGGAUGACAUGGACAUAGGGUGAAGAUAAUGGCUCUUUUUUAACAGAAUGACUGAGAACCUGAGGUGGCAGGAGGCUUAGGAGCAUGAGGAAGCACCUUCAGUGUUGAGACAUAAUAUCCCCAAAUGCUUUGGAAGCUAGAAAGAUUUUCUUUUUCCCCACACAGGGGCUGGGGCUGUAGCUCCUGGGUUUGACCUUGACCUCUCUGGGUUGAAUCCACAGAGGCCCAGCACAGAGUAGUGCACUGUUGAGCAAUGCGGACUGCUGGGAGUGCAGCAGCAGCAGACAACAGAGCCUGGCUUCUCCUCAUGGGGGCCUUGGUUACCUUGCUGACCCACUGACUGCCAGCCACAGUGGGACCUCUGCUCUCCGCCACCUCCCGCUAGGAAUGCCGGGAUGUUUGAAACAUCCACACCAGAAGGCGAGCAGGGGACUUGAACUCUGCCCACCCCCAGCUUCAUUCCCCUCAGCCUCCACGUGUUUCUCAUUACAGGGCUGAUGGAAGGGUCUGCUGUGGUUGGCUGAUUUGUCAUCAUGUCCUCCUCCAACUCAGGCCUCCAGAAAGGCUGUAUUCUUAUAGGGAAAGGGGGUUUGAAGAAGAAAGCACAGUUCUUUUUUUUGCAGGGGAGAGAUGGAUUUUAGAACAAGUCUACAUAUUGAUUUUCUUUCUUUUUCUUUUUGUGUGUUUAUUUGCUUUAAAGGGCAGGGGUUUUCUGUUGCCUACGGGCAGAGCAACAUCUCAGGCAGUUCUUUGGAGCAGGUGAAAUGGAGCUGGCCUGGAAAUGAGGGUGAUGACUAUGGAGUCGCCAGCCCUGAGCACCACCUCCUUGUCUGUAGGAGAUUGGUAGCUGCUGUGUUUUAAUUUUUACUCUUUAUGGAUGCACAUCUAUCUCUGUGGCCUUUCGCCUUUGCUCUGAGUAGAUUCUGCUCACAGCACGCAGAGCUGACCCAUCAGCAGUUUGCAUGGCACCAUCCUGUUACCUCGGGCCAUAUGGACUGCUGGCUCAGGUCCUUGAGGCCCAGGUCUUGUAGGAGGUCGGUGAACAUGGUCAUUUUUCUCGUUUAUACUCCAACAAUAGGCUGCCGCCUGCCCUCUGAUAAACAGCCUAUCAUCGUUCAUGACUGAAAUCAGGGCCAGGUUGGUGGAAGUUCCGGAAUGUUCUGGAACAUUUCCUUUAGGGUCAUAACCAUAAUUUCUGACUUAUCAAACCUUGUGAUAUAGAAUGAGCAAGGUAACAGAAUAUAAAUAGCAAAGGAAACCAAGAUGAAUGUGGAAAUGUGCCAGAGAUAUCAGGAGAGGAAACGGUGAAGGAGCCAAAGAGACUCUUUAGAGAAUGAGCUGGAAGUGAGGGGGAGAUAACCUAACAGUGGAUGAAAAGGGACUCUGGUAUUGACUGCCUGAAGUGAACCCAGCCUCUGUCACCUAUUAGCUGUGGGAGCUGAGGUGAGUCACCGUCCCACUGUGAAUCUCAGGUUUCCCAGCUCAAAGGUGGAUAAUAUGACCCAGGUCACUGUGAGCAUGAGGGACAAUGCACGAGAGCUUAACACAGCCUAGCAUCUAAAAGAGCCCCAUGGUAGCCAUAGAAACUGCAUGUUUACAGUGCACCAGGCAUUAUAUUAAGUAAUUUAACUUACUAGGCUAGUUUGAUCUUAAAAGUCACUGUACAGUUGAGGAAACAGGUUUGGGGGGUUUAAGUAAAUGCCCAAAGUUAUGUAGCUGCGAAAUGUGAGAGCUGAGAUUCAAACUUAAGUGAUAGUCUGUCCUAGAAGCUAAUAGCUUCAUAAUUGACGGUAACAGUCCUUUAUCUAGAAUUUGGGAGUGAGAAUUUGGGGGUGAGAAUUGGGGGCCAUUUUCAACCAAGAAUAUUAGAAGAACAAUAAAUGACAGAAGUCAUUUAAAAAUUCCCAAGAGCCAGGUGACAAAACAUUUGCACUAAGGUUAUUUAUUUAACCUUCAUGUUUGGCCUGGAAAAGCUAUAUUAUCAUCUGUAUCUUAGAAACAAGGAAAGAAAAGGCUCAGAGGUAUUGCACAGUUAAAAUGAAAUGGAAGUCCAUCUGGGCCUUGAAGUCAGGCUCUCCCCGUCACCCUGCCACCUCCAGGAAAUCCAUUCAGGGCCUCAUAGUAGGGGCUGCGUGACAUCUCCUGGGGUGGCCCGGGGAGGCUUAUCCUGACUUGCGUCAGAGCUGACAGGGAAGGACGAGAACCAUGAAUAAGUUCCCAAGACACUGGGUCUGAAAUCAGACUCCCAAGGGUAGUGAAGAGGGCAAUUGGAAAGUUACUGCUUGUGGUCGGAGGAAAGUUCGGAAGGAACAUCAGAGGGCAGGAAGAUGGAUAGGAGGGUCUGUAUUUAACACUGGCCCAAGGUGAGGAAGGAAGCGAUCAGCUUAAUUUUAGAAAGGCUCAGACUCUAAGGCUCCUAAGGUAUGAGGCAUGGGAACUUGGGUGAGGACGAUGUGCCAUUUGUCAUCCACUGGUCUCCAGAGGAGUGGCUGGGGCUGAGCUUGAGAUGAACUCCCAGCUGCAUAGAGAAAGGGGGCACUUUGCACAGCUAGUCCAGAGUUAGGUGGAAUCGAUCAAGUGACUUAUUUUCUCACACUGAGCCCAGUGGGAUAAUAAUACAUUAAUACAUGCAUGUAUUAAUUUUCAUUAAGAAUCACAUGAGACAACAGUGCAAGAAUCUAGGGAACUGCUUGGCCCACAAAUUCAUAUAGUUAAUAUUCUCUGAAGGAAUCUUCAUGGGGAGAUGAAAUGUUUCUGAAAGGGUGUCUUCAGGGGAUCAUGAUAAAAGUAUUUUCAUCUCGCUCUGAUUUCUUUUUUUUUUUCCCGCUCUGAUUUCUUUAGGUUCAAAAGGCGUUUCUCCUAUCUGCUGUGUUUGGGCUUUACUGAAUCUCUACUGCACUCUGAAGAUUUGAAGGCUUAUUGAUAACUGUGUGAUUUCCACAAUUCUGUACUCAAAUGUUGGCAUCAAGUAUUGUAGGGUUCCAUUCUACAGAAAGGGGAAGCAAGGCUGCCAGAGGCUGGAUGCCUUGAACAAGGGGGUGUGGAUCCACUUCCUGCAGGAAGCUGCCCAGUUUAAAGGUCUGGAGCCAUCUAAUCUGCCUGCUAGCAGCCACCUGAUGUCCUGGGAGCCUCUACCUGCAAAUAACUUGAAGGACAAGAGUGACAACUGCCGUGUGCUGUGCACCAUCUACUUUCAGCUGGAAGUGUCCAUCCCGUUUCAUCUCUUCAUUCCUGUGGACGAUCCUUGGGCACAGGGUUAAUCCAGGAGGAGGAUUUAGUAACAAGGUUGCCUGGCCUCUGGGCCUGGGCGGGAGAGCUGUUGUUCCAGCCCUGUCCCUCAGCCACACUGAUCAGAGUGGGGCUCCGAGCUUCAUUUGGGAGACAGAGCAGCAGUCACCCUGAAUCUCACCCUGCAGACUCUGGGGGUUCAGAGGUUGGGAGGGCAGAGCUGCAGGCCCAGGCAGCAAGAGUAGGUGGAGACUUCGCAGCAGCUGCAGCAAAAGGGAAGGACUGGCCGAGAGUGCUGCACUCUGUGCUCCCAGACAUCUGGAGGAAACUUUGGGCAUGCGCAGGACCUCAAGCCUGGCAGCCAGCUGUGAAGGCCGGUGCCCAUGAGACACUCAGCUCAUGUCAUUUCUCCCAUCCGACAGGGGAGUCCACCUGCCCAGCCCCACCUGGAGUCCUUUCACUUCGCCUUGCAGCAGGAAAGUGCCCAGAGAUGUUAGCCAAGGCCACAGUUGGCCAUUGCUGCCCUAGAGGCUUAUACGUGGGUCUUGGACUCCAGGGACACCGGUGAGGUCACUGGGCCUCAGAGGCUGGAGUUGGGGGCACCAGUGUGCCCCAUGGUGAUGUCUGAAGAACGCAUCCCAUCCCAUGAGUCCUUUCGCAGGGCAGGCGCUGGGCUCUGAAAGCUGCCCUCACAAAGAUGCCUGCAGCUCCCACUCUUUCCAGAGGAGCCAUCAGCCCUCGGCUAGGAGGGCAAAGGUCACUGUGCUGAGAGAAUGACCUCUUUCUCUCAGAAAGCUGCUGCUUUCAGAGCUGUGGCCACCCCAGCCUGGCCAUCACGCAGGCCUGCACCAAGAAAUAAAAGGUUCUCACAGCCGGGUAGGCGCUGUGACACAGUUUAAUUUGCUGUAA